AGAGUUUGAUCCUGGCUCAGGAUGAACGCUAGCGACAGGCCUAACACAUGCAAGUCGAGGGGCAGCACAUGAGUAGCAAUACGAUGGUGGCGACCGGCGCACGGGUGAGUAACACGUAUGCAACCUGCCUGUAAGAGGGGAAUAACCCGGAGAAAUUCGGACUAAUACCGCAUAAUACCACGAGACUGCAUGGUUUUGUGGUUAAACAUUUAUGGCUUACAGAUGGGCAUGCGUAUGAUUAGAUAGUUGGUAGGGUAACGGCCUACCAAGUCUACGAUCAUUAGGGGUUCUGAGAGGAAGGUCCCCCACACUGGUACUGAGACACGGACCAGACUCCUACGGGAGGCAGCAGUGAGGAAUAUUGGUCAAUGGGCGAGAGCCUGAACCAGCCAAGUCGCGUGAAGGAAGAAGGUUCUAUGGAUUGUAAACUUCUUUUGCAGGGGAAUAAAGGACGGUACGUGUACUAUUUUGUAUGUACCUUGCGAAUAAGGAUCGGCUAACUCCGUGCCAGCAGCCGCGGUAAU
rnacentral:rRNA from 1 species